rnacentral:lncRNA from 1 species
AUGAAGGGCCCAUCCAUCUCCUGUGGGUCUGCUCUCAAAGUCGCAGGUCUCCAGGGCCUGUUAUCUCUCCGUCUUUUCCCACGGUCUGUUUCGGGGUAUGCAGGACUGUUUUCUGGGACUUCUAGCGGGGCUUCCGCCUUCCUUCCCCGGGGCCCGGGCGUUAGCUGCGGCUCCGUGGCGGUGGCGAUGGCGGGCGCUAGGGCCGCGCGGAAGGGGCCGGGGGGGGGGCGCGCCUCGCCUCGCGCGCGGCAUGCUGGGGGCUGUAGUCUCGGGACUCGGCCGCCGGGUGGCCACGUGCGCCACCGCCCGCCGCGAGGCGCCAUUCCUGGGCCGCCGCCGCCGCCGCCGCCGCGGCCGGCCCCGGCCGCGGCGCUCGAGCCGGGCUUCCGGCAGAGCGAAGCGGCCGGGUUUGAGAGACCCCCGGGCGGUGGAUUUUACUCUGCCUCCAUCAACAAGCGCUGGCUGGCAAAGUUACGUCAUGUCCCAACGGAGACUCUUAGGCAAGACGGAGGAGUUCAGGUACGCAGCCUGCCAGAAGAACGUCGCCUGCGAGGGGUUGCUAACCUUGAGCUAUAGGCGCUGAUGCAUAUGGCCUGUUCUGUCAGACACGAAGAGGUUUGCUUUGGUUGCCGAAAUUUUAGCUUGGCUUUACACCCUAGAGUGGUAGUAUAUUUGUAUUUAUAAAUUGCAUUAAUCCUAGGCAUUCAGAACAUUGGGGAACGACUAUGUGCUGCCGUGAAGAACUGCAGGCUACCGCCCUCAGCCCUUUGUAAGUUACCAGGUGUCAAGAGCAGCCAGGAGACUCCAAAUACCAGCGGAAAGGUUCUCUGCCUGGUCCUGACGAGGAGCCUUCGGCCGCAUCCUUACCGGACUUGGGAGUAAUAAGCCACUAUUCAUGGACCAGCAAAGGAAGGGGGGGACAGCGGCUGGUAGCCCAGUCGCUACAGCAUUGCUGUUGCUAGCAGGGCCACAAGGCCCAUGUGAAGCCUCGCCUGCCUCUUUGGAGCUUUAUUUUGGUCUGUUUACCUGGAAAAAGCAGCGAGGCCUCAGAUAAGAAUGUUCGUGGCUAGAUGGGUAAGCUGUGACCCCAGCUGUUUUUGCCUUGCUUUGCUGCUUAAUGUCGUAACAGCAACUUGGGACCCCAGAAUAAAAACAGUUACAGUGCUUAAGGGAGGAUCUGC